GAGUUUGAUCCUGGCUCACCACGAACGCUGGCGGCGUGCCUAAUACAUGCAAGUCGAGCGAGCGGAACCAACAGAUUUACUUCGGUAAUGACGUUGGGAAAGCGAGCGGCGGAUGGGUGAGUAACACGUGGGGAACCUGCCCCUAAGUCUGGGAUACCAUUUGGAAACAGGUGCUAAUACCGGAUAAUAAAGCAGAUCGCAUGAUCAGCUUUUGAAAGGCGGCGUAAGCUGUCGCUAAGGGAUGGCCCCGCGGUGCAUUAGCUAGUUGGUCAGGUAACGGCUUACCAAGGCGACGAUGCAUAGCCGAGUUGAGAGACUGAUCGGCCACAUUGGGACUGAGACACGGCCCAAACUCCUACGGGAGGCAGCAGUAGGGAAUCUUCCACAAUGGACGCAAGUCUGAUGGAGCAACGCCGCGUGAGUGAAGAAGGUUUUCGGAUCGUAAAGCUCUGUUGUUGGUGAAGAAGGAUAGAGGUAGUAACUGGCCUUUAUUUGACGGUAAUCAACCAGAAAGUCACGGCUAACUACGUGCCAGCAGCCGCGGUAAUACGUAGGUGGCAAGCGUUGUCCGGAUUUAUUGGGCGUAAAGCGAGCGCAGGCGGAAAAAUAAGUCUAAUGUGAAAGCCCUCGGCUUAACCGAGGAAUUGCAUCGGAAACUGUUUUUCUUGAGUGCAGAAGAGGAGAGUGGAACUCCAUGUGUAGCGGUGAAAUGCGUAGA
rnacentral:rRNA from 1 species